CUCCUGACAGUGACCUCCAAGGCUAUCUGCUCCUACUGCCUUCUAAGCAUGUGUCCAGAGGCCUUCAGAACAUCUCUCCAACAUUCCACGUCCUCCAACACGCCUCCAGUACAUAUUAUUUAUAAUGGCCUGAAUCUUCCAAGGAUCGGCAAUCAUCAUUGGAUUGAUCUGGAAUGAUAUCAUCAGGCGUGCGGACAUGGGAGAGCGAUUGAGUCCUGUGGUGUGAUCGACUGGUUGAACACACACAAUUUCCGCUGAUUUGGUUGGCCUCGACGGAUGGACGUCUUACAUUUGGACAUCUCCUGACCCAUAGAAUUCAGCAAUGUUAACUUCACAUAUGUGUCUGGAAAAGCAAUUCGGUUUAACAGAGGCAUCAGAGGC